AUGGAAAAAGGGCUGCAGAUUUUCUCCCGAAGCCGGAAAUCGCCUCCAAACUUCCACCGGCCAUAUCUUCCUCCUCCGGCCACCAAUCCUCACCAAACUUCUUCCAUUGGCUUUGUAUGGUCCUUGCACACCUGUGUGUGGCAGACUUUCACGGCGGCGCGGCCUAUAACGGCAGCGGCAAGCUUGUUCCGAUUUGAGUUCGAUUUUGAGUCAACGCCGAGUUCUCCACCCUCCGGCCACCAAAACCCAAGAUCCAUAGCUUCCUGAACUCGUCUAAACCUUCUGAUCAUCAUCCCAGAAGGAUCACACCUGGAGUGACCGGUUUCAAGUUCGUCGGAGCUCGCCCCGAUUUAGAUCGAAAACCACCUUCAAAUCCGGAUAUCUCUAGUUACAGACCACCUCUUCCUAUUAUUCUUGAGUUGGUGAACUCAGAUUGAAGUUCUGAACAACUUUCAUGAAGGGAUCGAAGCUAGUUGUUGAAGUUUUUACGUGGAACGGAGCUCUCGCCGGUUUCUGGAAUUUUUCCGGCCACCGAGAUUUUCGAUCAAGAUAUCUCGGGCUGUAGAGCAUCGUUUUGAUUGAUUCUUGAACCAGUGAGUUCGCCUGGAGGUUAUUAACAACUCUCCAGAAGGGAUCGAGGCCUGAUAUUGAAGUUUUUACGUCGAAAUCAUAGCUCGCCGGUUUCUGCAAUACUCGCCGGUUUCUGGAAAAUUUCCGGCCAAGUUCAACUGUUCUAGGUGAUUGACGAUUGAGUUGGCGGACGAUUGCGAAUCGUAUUUUGAGCUGUUAAGAAGACGCAGCGGGAUUAGAGGUGAGUAAACCGCACAUGGUUCAUUUACUAACCGAAGUUCUAAAUAUUUAUGUUUAUUUGUGGAAAUUGUUUUGAAUUAAAUAAUUGUUUUGAAAAAUAUGAACUCGAUCGACUACGGGUCAUAGGGCUACGGCUCACAGGUAAGAAAAUGAUUUUAAGUAUAAAAAGGAAUUUAUUGUUUUAUUGUACGAGAUCUAUAUUUGGUAUUAAUAGGCAUUCCUGCGUGAAUGUCUAUGUACAUAUAUUAUUUACGUGAAAAAUAUAUAUGUAUUGAUGGAUUUUGUUGAGAAUCAAUAAAUUGUUGAUUUAUUGAGAUAUAUUGAUCUGUGGAGAUCAAUAGGUCACGGGGGUGACCAUGGCAUCUAUUAGUGAACCACGCUCUUGUAGCGGGCCGGUGGUUACUAAUAGUAUUAAAUCAUGAACCACGCUCUCGCGCCGGGCCGGUGGUUACUAUCAGUUAGAGUUCUAGUCUGUCUGCCAAAUGUUGAGUGAUCUUAUGAGGGUAAUGCGGAGUUACUUGUGACUCAUAAGUGUGUGUGUGUAUAUAUAUAUAUAUAUAUAUAUAUAUAUAUAUGUGAGAGUGAGAAAGUGAAGUGGUUUUGUGGUGGUCGUUGUGAUUGUGAUGUUUCUACAUUUCUAUGCUUGAGUUAAAGGAAAUGUAUUUUAAAUAAAUCAACAGUUCAUUCUUGUUUACUCAUACGAGCUGUCAAAAGCUUACCGGGUUUGGUGUUGUUGCAAUCCCGGUACACUAUUCAAAUUGUGUAGCGGGUAAUUCUGCAGGUCAGGAGAAUCAGGGCUGUGAUCGUGCGGGUUAGAGUAUUUGUUAUAGAUUUACAGAAAUUGUAUUAGUGAGGUGAGUUAAGCUCAUUGAGCCUUACAAUUUGAUUGGUGAGAGUGUGCUGUAAUAAAUAACUUGAGGAUUUUGUUUA